UAUAAGAAGCAUUCAAUAUGUUGUAAACAGUGUUAAUAAUAUUGCUCACACAUUGGUUUAUUUUUAUAUGGAUACCUUAUUAUUUACACUAAAUUUAUGUGUUCUUCUUGUUGUGGCUGAUUAUGCUCAUGGUACUAGGAAUGUCGCCAUCGGUAAAACAGCUUCAAUGAGUAGCAAUCACCGAGAAUACAAAUGGCUCGCCCAAACAGCGGUUGAUGGUAAUGUCGGGAACAACUCUAUGUUGAGCGAUACGUGUUUUCACACGACUAAAGAGUACCAGCCGUGGUGGAGGGUGGACCUACAUCAAGACUACUAUAUCACUAGUGUCGUUGUUUAUAACCGACUUGACUGCUGUGCAAACCAGGCACGGAAAAUUAAACUGACAAUCGGUAAAAGUUUGGACUCUAUGAGUCAGGCUGGACACCUAGAUGGCGGGUUCACCACUACCCAUACGUUCACCGUUGACCCACCAUUGGUAGGACGUUUCGUGCAAUUGCAGCUAUACGGGAUAACAGAGUUUUUCCAUCUAUGUGAGGUAGAAGUCAUGGCAUAUCCCUCAGGUACGUACAAUGUCGCCACUGGUAAAACUGCUUCACAGAGCAGCAACUUCAGUACACUCAAAUAUCACGCAUCAACGGCAGUUGAUGGUUAUGCCGGGGACAACCGUUUUGCCAGCGAUUCGUUUUUUAGUACAACGAAAGAGUACCAGCCGUGGUGGAGGGUGGACCUACAUCAAGACUACUAUAUCACCAGUGUCGUUGUUUAUAACCGACUUGACUGCUGUGCAAACCGGGCAAGGAACAUUAAACUGACAAUCGGUAAAACUUUAGACUCCAUGAGUCAGGCUGGAUACCUAGAUGUCUUGUUCACCACUCCCCAUACGUUCACCAUUGACCCACCAUUGGUAGGACGUUUCGUGCAAUUGCAGCUGAAAGGGAUAACGGAGAUUUUCCAUCUAUGUGAGGUAGAAGUCAUGGCAUACCCCUCAGGUACAUACAAUGUCGCCUUCGGUAAAACUGCUUCACAGAGCAGCAACUACAAUACAUCCAAAUAUAACGCAACAACGGCGGUUGAUGGCAAUGUCGGGGACAACGCUUUUGCCAGCGAUUCGUGUUUUUGUACGGCGAAAGAGUACCAGCCGUGGUGGAGGGUGGACCUACAUCAAAACUACUAUAUCACUAGUGUCGUUAUGCAUUACCAAUUGGACUGCUGUGGAAACCAGGCAAGGAACAUUAAACUGACCAUCGGUAAAAGUUUGGACUCCAUGAGUCAGGCUGGAUACCUAGAUGGCGGGUUUACCACUCAUACGUUCACCAUUGACCCACCAUUGGUAGGACGUUUCGUGCAAUUGCAGCUAAAAGGGAUAACGGAGUUUUUCCAUCUAUGCGAGGUAGAAGUCAUGGCAUAACCCUCAGGUGAUUAUGUAAUAUUACAAUAUUAUUUCGUAUAUAUAUGCUUCGUUAAGACAUUAUUAUCUGAAAUAACUAAAUAAUUAUUGAUGAAAAAACUCUCUCCUCAACGCCUGUUAAUGCAAAACACACUGAUUCAUUGUCCAGAAUGAGCGUUUAGAAUAAAUGUAAAUGCAAACGUCAUUGCAUAUUGUAUGGUGAGAAAACAGUAGAUGAUGUAAUAACUGACAGUCUACUGAUUUACAGUUGAUAAUUCUUUGUUUCAGUGUAAUCACCGAAUGACCAUGAACAUAUGUUUCAUGAGUGCCACAAGUGAACUAUUUACUUUUGUCGUUCACCAUUUCAAUUACAUUGCCAUUUUUAACUGAAACAAACACCUUGUUUUUCUCUUUAUAUUAUGCCUAAAUUGGAUAUAAAAUGAUAGUGAAUUGGAGUGUUUAAAAAAGAAGUGCUAAAUCGACUGCGAAGGUCGCGUCCGUUCAGGAAUGGAAUCAUUGGGUUUGUGUCCAAACCCUGUUUGCGCUUAAGUUUGAUUUGGAAGUUUAAGCGGGCUAAAAUUUAAAACAGUAGAUACUAUCAAAAUGUUAUUUUUCACUGAUUGAUAUUGUCAUAUGUUGUUUACUGAUAAAGCUCAAUAAACCACUAGAAGGCAUUCCAUUAAACUUUCCUAGUACUUCAGUUUGGAUGUUGCGAUAUAGUAUGACGAUUAAAUAAUAAAUAUCGCAAGUUACUUGAUACUUGAAUCAUGAUAUUUAUACGAAUCUUAAUACAGCGGUAAAGAUAUUAUAUCAGGUUAUAAUGAUUCGAUCCACAAUAAUAUAAAUACAGAAGCUUUGGUGUUUUAAAUAAAAAAAAACAUAUACAGCCGGUUUAGUGUUUCUAUAAAUUUCGAUGCUUGAAUCUUAGUUACUUUAAUAGAUAUAGUGAAGCAGUGAAGUUUUAUUUAAAGUUAGAUUGAUUGAUGGGAUAUAUAGUUGUUCUAAUUCACCAGUUUUGGUGUUUCCAUAUGAUAUAUGGUUUGUACCAUAAGAAUAUCAACUACUAUGGUAGCAGUUUGCGUGUGUUUUUUAACUUUUGAAUCACAAACAUGUAACCAAAACGAUGCUGUAGUGUUGGUGCUUUAUAUGAGGCUUAAAUCGUUCGAUGUAAUAAUUCCAGUUUAACUGAUUUUGUGAUCUUAUAUACUCCAAGGUUUAAGUUAUAUAAAAUGUAUCAUCUAGUUCAGCAAUUUUUAGUUCUUAUAAUUAUACAUUUAAUAAUAAUGUCAGCAUUCUAGAACAACAACUGAUUCUUAUACACCCCACGUCUUGAAUAAUACUGGUACAACAGUUUUGAGAUAUGAGUUUAGUCCGAGUCCUGAAUGAAAAUAUAACAAUUCUAGUACAACACUUGUGAUGUUUGUUUUUAUACCGGGGUCAGACUCACAAUAAUUAUGAUAAUCUCAACACUGCACUUUUAAAGUUUCUCUAUAAAAACUAAUUAUGAUAAUUAUAAGUAUUAUACAGCUGUUUUGGGACGAUUGAACAAAAAGUAUCACAAUGAUUCAAAUACAGUAGUUACAGGUGUUUUAAAAUACUUCGAGGUAUUUUUACAUAUUCCUUGAUUUCCCUCAUGGUAAUUAUAAAAAUUGAAAUACAGCAGUUUCAAUGUAUCUUUAUACUCCGAAGCUUGAAUCAAAAGAAAUAUAAUGAAUUGUUAUGUGGCGGUUUCGGUGCUUCUAAAUAAUAUGAGGCUUUAAUCAUGAACAUUAUAAAAGUUCUACUAAACAGUCGUUUUAAUGACUUUAUGUAAUAUAUAUUUAUAGGAGGCUUGAAUCAUGACAGUUUUAAUAUCUGCAAAAAAGCAGUUUUGGUGUAUAUUUAUAUAGAAGAUAUAUAUGAACCAGUAUAAUCACACUUAUUCUAGUUUUGUUGUCUUGGUGAUUGUUUAUUCUCUGAGGCUAUAAUCACAAAACUUACAAACAUUCUAGUACCAAACAUUUUAAUAUGUUACCCAUGACACAUGUUACUAUUUCUUCUAGAUAGGUUUGUAACUAUCAACGCGUUCUUUUCAUUAUAUAAGAUUCAGUCGACGGAAACGAUGGAGACAGCGAUGAUUUAAGUAAAACGACAGCUAAGGGAAAUAGUAUGCAUAACGUCUGUGUCCAAACACACAACGAUUGAUUCAUGAUUGCAAAGUAUUAAGAAACAACAUUUUUUAUCUAAAAAGACAAGACUCUUAUAAAUGUUCCAUUUGGAUGCCGGGUGUCCUAAUAUGUAUGCGUUAUCGUUGGCAUGGUUUGGUUGCACAGAAAACGAACAUGUAAGACAUAAAAUAAAAAAAAAUAAUGUAAUCUAAUAACAAUAAUAUACAAAAAUUAUAUACAAUAAAUAUGUUUUUAUGGUCUCCAAUUAUUGCCAAACAAUGUUAUUUACGUCCAAUUUCAUUAGAAAUUAGGCUUAAUUGUACAAACUGAAAUAACUGAUAUCUGUAAUUUUACAUAUUAGUUAUGAGCAAGCAAAGUUCAUUCAAAUGGUAAGAACAUUGAAACGGUUCAUCUAGCAUCAAAAUUUAACAUAUAGUUUGAAGUAUGAAGUUUUCAGAAAACUGCUUAUUGGUGAACCGAUUUCCUUAAAUACUCUUUUAAUUUUGUUUGUUACUUGAUACUUUAAUACUGCUUAUUCAAUUGCAGUAAGUGAAUGCAUAUUGAUUGGCGUUAUAUUCAAAAUAUUUUUUUGUCUAGCAGGUAUACCUUCCAUUUUUUAAUCCAUUUUAUGUAUUCUUAAUUGUAAGUGGUUACCUUAUACCAUUUACAAUAAGUCUUAUUUCUCAUUGGCCUUUAAAGUAUACCGCGACACCGGUUGCUUUUUCCAAGGCCUGAUUGCUGUUUGGAUCCCGGCAAUGGAUCGUCAAAAAGUUGAUGUGUGAAAUGACUACUUGUAAAAUGAUUAUAAAAUGUUAACUUAAAGCAGUUGACAAAAGCUAAAUGACUUGUUCAUGUUCGACUAGAAUGCCUUAAAAUAUUUAUAAUCCUUUAAAGCCAUGAAAUGUACAUCGAGGAUAUAUACGAAUAUUCAAACCUUUUAAGUAUUUAACUUUGUAAUUAUGCAAAUGUAUAAUACCUACUUAAGACAUUAUCGAUAUCAAUUUAUACAUACUGCGUUGUAAAAGAACGUCUAUUACAUUAAGACAAGAGCGACUUAUAUAAGUCUGCAUAUGUGUACUUCAAACAUUUAUAAAUCACACUUUAAAAUUUUAACUUACAAUUGAAUUAGAUAGAUGAUUAUCAUAUAUGUAACUACUACUUGUUGACCUUUAAAAGAAGCACCACAUGCAACAUAUCUGAUGAUACAUUAUGUUGGUGAUGAUAUUGCUAAAAAGAAAGCAUGCAUAACCAAACGCCUUCAGUUCUUCGUUAUUUGUCUACCACCAAUUAUUUCAGAGUUUUCUAUUAAUACGACAGUUAUAUCGGGAAUAUUUGGAGGUGUUUGUGCUAUGGUUAUUCUUGGAGCCACUGGGAUACUCUUAACGAGAAAGUACUCCAAAGGUUGCUUUUCUAAAGCAGAUGAGAAAUCUGAGGAAACCAGUC